rnacentral:rRNA from 1 species
GGUCAAGUGAAGAAGCGCAUACGGUGGAUGCCUUGGCAGUCAGAGGCGAUGAAAGACGUGGUAGCCUGCGAUAAGCUUUGGGGAGUCGGCAAACAGACUGUGAUCCAGAGAUCUCUGAAUGGGGGAACCCACUCAGCACAAGCUGAGUAUCUUGUACUGAAUACAUAGGUACAAGAGGCGAACCAGGGGAACUGAAACAUCUAAGUACCCUGAGGAAAAGAAAUCAACCGAGAUUCCCUUAGUAGUGGCGAGCGAACGGGGACCAGCCCUUAAGCUGGUUUGAGAUUAGUGGAACGCUCUGGAAAGUGCGGCCAUAGUGGGUGAUAGCCCCGUACACGAAAAUCUCUUGCCAGUGAAAUCGAGUAGGACGGAGCACGAGAAACUUUGUCUGAACAUGGGGGGACCAUCCUCCAAGGCUAAAUACUACUGACUGACCGAUAGUGAACCAGUACCGUGAGGGAAAGGCGAAAAGAACCCCGGAGAGGGGAGUGAAAUAGAACCUGAAACCGUAUGCGUACAAGCAGUGGGAGCCUACUUUGUUAGGUGACUGCGUACCUUUUGUAUAAUGGGUCAGCGACUUAUAUUCAGUGGCGAGCUUAACCGAAUAGGGGAGGCGUAGCGAAAGCGAGUCUUAAUAGGGCGUUUAGUCGCUGGGUAUAGACCCGAAACCGGGCGAUCUAUCCAUGGGCAGGUUGAAGGUUAGGUAACACUGACUGGAGGACCGAACCGACUACCGUUGAAAAGUUAGCGGAUGACCUGUGGAUCGGAGUGAAAGGCUAAUCAAGCUCGGAGAUAGCUGGUUCUCCUCGAAAGCUAUUUAGGUAGCGCCUCAUGUAUCACUGUAGGGGGUAGAGCACUGUUUCGGCUAGGGGGUCAUCCCGACUUACCAAACCGAUGCAAACUCCGAAUACCUACAAGUGCCGAGCAUGGGAGACACACGGCGGGUGCUAACGUCCGUCGUGAAAAGGGAAACAACCCAGACCGUCAGCUAAGGUCCCAAAGUCAUGGUUAAGUGGGAAACGAUGUGGGAAGGCUUAGACAGCUAGGAGGUUGGCUUAGAAGCAGCCACCCUUUAAAGAAAGCGUAAUAGCUCACUAGUCGAGUCGGCCUGCGCGGAAGAUGUAACGGGGCUCAAACCAUGCACCGAAGCUACGGGUAUCACCUUUAGGUGAUGCGGUAGAGGAGCGUUCUGUAAGCCUGUGAAGGUGAGUUGAGAAGCUUGCUGGAGGUAUCAGAAGUGCGAAUGCUGACAUGAGUAACGACAAUGCGAGUGAAAAACUCGCACGCCGAAAGACCAAGGUUUCCUGCGCAACGUUAAUCGACGCAGGGUUAGUCGGUCCCUAAGGCGAGGCUGAAAAGCGUAGUCGAUGGAAAACAGGUUAAUAUUCCUGUACUUCCAGUUAUUGCGAUGGAGGGACGGAGAAGGCUAGGCCAGCUUGGCGUUGGUUGUCCAAGUUUAAGGUGGUAGGCUGAGAUCUUAGGCAAAUCCGGGAUCUCAAGGCCGAGAGCUGAUGACGAGUGCUCAUUAGAGCGCGAAGUGGUUGAUGCCAUGCUUCCAAGAAAAGCUCCUAAGCUUCAGAUAACUGGGAACCGUACCCCAAACCGACACAGGUGGUUAGGUAGAGAAUACCAAGGCGCUUGAGAGAACUCGGGUGAAGGAACUAGGCAAAAUGGCACCGUAACUUCGGGAGAAGGUGCGCCGGCGAGGGUGAAGGACUUGCUCCGUAAGCCCAUGCCGGUCGAAGAUACCAGGCCGCUGCGACUGUUUAUUAAAAACACAGCACUCUGCAAACACGAAAGUGGACGUAUAGGGUGUGACGCCUGCCCGGUGCCGGAAGGUUAAUUGAUGGGGUUAGCGCAAGCGAAGCUCUUGAUCGAAGCCCCGGUAAACGGCGGCCGUAACUAUAACGGUCCUAAGGUAGCGAAAUUCCUUGUCGGGUAAGUUCCGACCUGCACGAAUGGCGUAACGAUGGCGGCGCUGUCUCCACCCGAGACUCAGUGAAAUUGAAAUCGCUGUGAAGAUGCAGUGUAUCCGCGGCUAGACGGAAAGACCCCGUGAACCUUUACUAUAGCUUUGCACUGGACUUUGAAUUUGCUUGUGUAGGAUAGGUGGGAGGCUUUGAAGUGGGGACGCCAGUUCUCAUGGAGCCAUCCUUGAAAUACCACCCUGGCAACUUUGAGGUUCUAACUCAGGUCCGUUAUCCGGAUCGAGGACAGUGUAUGGUGGGUAGUUUGACUGGGGCGGUCUCCUCCCAAAGAGUAACGGAGGAGUACGAAGGUGCGCUCAGACCGGUCGGAAAUCGGUCGUAGAGUAUAAAGGCAAAAGCGCGCUUGACUGCGAGACAAACACGUCGAGCAGGUACGAAAGUAGGUCUUAGUGAUCCGGUGGUUCUGUAUGGAAGGGCCAUCGCUCAACGGAUAAAAGGUACUCCGGGGAUAACAGGCUGAUACCGCCCAAGAGUUCAUAUCGACGGCGGUGUUUGGCACCUCGAUGUCGGCUCAUCACAUCCUGGGGCUGAAGCCGGUCCCAAGGGUAUGGCUGUUCGCCAUUUAAAGUGGUACGCGAGCUGGGUUUAGAACGUCGUGAGACAGUUCGGUCCCUAUCUGCCGUGGACGUUUGAGAUUUGAGAGGGGCUGCUCCUAGUACGAGAGGACCGGAGUGGACGAACCUCUGGUGUUCCGGUUGUCACGCCAGUGGCAUUGCCGGGUAGCUAUGUUCGGAAGAGAUAACCGCUGAAAGCAUCUAAGCGGGAAACUUGCCUCAAGAUGAGAUCUCACUGGAACCUUGAGUUCCCUGAAGGGCCGUCGAAGACUACGACGUUGAUAGGUUGGGUGUGUAAGCGCUGUGAGGCGUUGAGCUAACCAAUACUAAUUGCCCGUGAGGCUUGACCAU